GUAGGGGGCAAGCGUUGUCCGGAAUUAUUGGGCGUAAAGCGCGUGUAGGCGGCCAGGUAGGUCUGCUGUGAAAACUCGAGGCUCAACUUCGAGAUGUCGGCGGAAACCAUUUGGCUAGAGUCCGGAAGAGGAGAGUGGAAUUCCUGGUGUAGCGGUGAAAUGCGCAGAUAUCAGGAAGAACACCCGUGGCGAAGGCGGCUCUCUGGGACGGUACUGACGCUGAGACGCGAAAGCGUGGGGAGCGAACAGGAUUAGAUACCCUGGUAGUCCACGCCGUAAACGAUGGGAACUAGGUGUGGGCGGUGUCGACUCCGUCCGUGCCGAAGCUAACGCAUUAAGUUCCCCGCCUGGGGAGUACGGCCGCAAGGCUAAA
rnacentral:rRNA from 1 species